rnacentral:rRNA from 1 species
GUGGAUUAGAUACCCUAGUAGUCCUAGCCGUAAACGAUGGACACUAGGUGUUGGUGGUAUCAACCCCGCCAGUGCCGAAGCUAACGCAUUAAGUGUCCCGCCUGGGGAGUACGGCCGCAAGGCUAAAACUCAAAGGAAUUGACGGGGGCCCGCACAAGCAGCGGAGCGUGGGGUUUAAUUCGACGCAACGCGAAGAACCUUACCAGGGCUUGACAUGACCAGGAUCCCGGCGGAAACGUCGGUUCCCCGCAAGGGGCCUGGCCACAGGUGUUGCAUGGUCGUCGACAGCU